UUAAGUUUAGCGGGUAGUCCUACUCGAUUUGAGGUCAAGUUGUCAGAUAUUGUCCGAAGACGGUUUGAAGCACAGAGCUCCUGGUCGGUCACCCUCUAAUGAGGUGCCGGCGAAGACACUUAUCACGCCGUACUAUGUCCAACCAAGAGCUGCACUACUCCAUUUGAGGUGAGCCACAGUAAAGCAGCAACACCCAAGUC
rnacentral:misc_RNA from 1 species